UCCUACGGGAGGCAGCAGUGGGGAAUAUUGCACAAUGGGCGCAAGCCUGAUGCAGCGACGCCGCGUGAGGGAUGACGGCCUUCGGGUUGUAAACCUCUUUCAGUAGGGAACAAGGCUGCACGUUGUGUGGUUGAGGGUACUUGCAGAAGAAGCGCCGGCUAACUACGUGCCAGCAGCCGCGGUAAUACGUAGGGCGCAAGCGUUAUCCGGAAUUAUUGGGCGUAAAGAGCUCGUAGGCGGUUUGUCGCGUCUGCCGUGAAAGUCCGGGGCUCAACCCCGGAUCUGCGGUGGGUACGGGCGGACUAGAGUGAUGUAGGGGAGACUGGAAUUCCUGGUGUAGCGGUGAAAUGCGCAGAUAUCAGGAGGAACACCGAUGGCGAAGGCAGGUCUCUGGGCAUUAACUGACGCUGAGGAGCGAAAGCACGGGGAGCGAACAGGAUUAGAUACCCUGGUAGUCCAUGCCGUAAACGUUGGGCACUAGGUGUGGGGGACAUUCCACGGUUUCCGCGCCGUAGCUAACGCAUUAAGUGCCCCGCCUGGGGAGUACGGCCGCAAGGCUAAAACUCAAAUGAAUUGACGGA
rnacentral:rRNA from 1 species